GCAGAACUGAUGUGGGACGCAUCAGUAUAUGUUAUUUUCAAGUAGUUGAUAGUUUGUUAAAAGGAGGGUAGUGUUGGUAUUCCUAAAAAUUUAUUAGGAUAAUAGUCUUUUAUUUGGUCAAAGAUUAGUUUUAGAAUAAAUAGAUAAGCAAAAUUAAGGGGCACCAGGCGAGUGUACUCCAGGAAAUUGGGGAUCAAUUGACUUCUUUUUUUUUCCCAAAUAUUCUUAUGUAUUUAUUUGUUUACAUUGCUCCUCAUAAAUCUAAUUAUUGAAAUCUCUUUUUGAUAAGAUUUAAAAUUAGUUGAGACGAAAAAAGCUUGUUGUGUAUUCAAAUUUUUAUCUACUUUUAAAACUCUGAUGUACCUAUUUUAAGUUAUGAACUUUACCAACACAAAAUGAUAUAACCAUAUAUGUCUGAUCAAUUGAUAAAUGUCUGUUUAGUUAUAUAUAGAGAUAUGUAUUUAAUAGCAUUAAUAGUGAUAUAAUUUUUUUUUUAUAGUUUUCAUGGUAUUAGAUUUCGCAGAGUCUAAUUAUAAGAUAUUAACAUUAUAAGUAGUUUUUUUAAUUUAUAAGUUAAAUCAAACAUAAUAUUUAUGACUUUUGAUUUAUUUUAAGUAAUAUUUUUAACGUAUAAGUCAAACCAAAUAUUAUUUUACCUAUGACUUUAUACUUAUAAGUAGUCCUGACUAACUUAUAAGUCAAACCAAUUACUCUCUUAGCCAAUCAAUGUAUAGCACCUGUGUGAAGUAUGAUCAUUUGCAAAUGCUUUAAAGAUGCACGUUUUUGUACAGAACUUGGGCGUGUUUAAAUUCAUAUGGAUAUUGAAUUUACAAGUGGUUAUUUCCUUGAGCUCAUGAACUAGAAGUUAGACCUGAACUGAUGAGUUAACUUAUGCUUGCUGAAUGUGUUAAGCAGUUAUCAUUUGUUAAAAAGAAUUCAAUGCAAUGGAAUUCUAUUUGGAUAAUUUUCUUGUUUAGAAAGUACAUGAUUCUAGAACUUUAUUCUUUCAACUUUCUGUUUAAUUUUAAAAGAUAUGUAAAUCGCGCCAAAAAUGUCAUGCAUUUACAACGAUCUAAUUCAUUUCAUGGGGCCCACUAUUGAAAUUAAAGCUCGUUUGGUUCACCAAAAACUGAUCCAAGAGUGAGAAUGAAAUGAAAAUGAUCCCCUUUGUGGGUGUUUUGGAAACUCCUU
rnacentral:misc_RNA from 1 species